rnacentral:rRNA from 1 species
CACGUAGGGCGCAAGCGUUGUCCGGAAUUAUUGGGCGUAAAGAGCUCGUAGGCGGACUGUCACGUCUGCUGUGAAAAGCUGGGGCUUAACCCUGGCCUUGCAGUGGAUACGGGCAGACUAGAGGUAGGUAGGGGAGAAUGGAAUUCCCGGUGUAGCGGUGAAAUGCGCAGAUAUCGGGAGGAACACCGGUGGCGAAGGCGGUUCUCUGGGCCUUACCUGACGCUGAGGAGCGAAAGUGUGGGGAGCAAACGGG